rnacentral:rRNA from 1 species
GUCAGCAGCCAUAUCACCCUGCACCUCACUACUGGCAACUCCCUGAAGCUCAGCCGGUGUGAGCCUGGCCAGUACCUGGAUGGGAGACCUCCUGGGAAAGCUAAGGUUGCUGCUGGAA